rnacentral:siRNA from 1 species
UGAGCCAUCAGUUCCCAUGUGC